GACGAAGGUGGCUAGCGUUGCUCGGAUUUACUGGGCAUAAAGCGCGCGUAGGUGGUCGUGUAAGCGGGGGAUGAAAGCCCAUGGCUCACCCAUGGAACUGUCCCCCGGACUGCACGGCUCGAGGAAGGAAGGGGAGAAUGGAAUUCCGGGUGUAGCGGUGGAAUGCGUAGAGAUCCGGAAGAACACCGGUGGCGAAGGCGGCCUGCUGGGCAGUAGCUGACACUGAGGCGCGACAGCGUGGGGAGCAAACAGG
rnacentral:rRNA from 1 species